rnacentral:rRNA from 1 species
AACGAACGCUGGCGGCAUGCCUAACACAUGCAAGUCGAACGAGACCUUCGGGUCUAGUGGCGCACGGGUGCGUAACGCGUGGGAACCUGCCCUUAGGUUCGGAAUAACUCCCCGAAAGGGGUGCUAAUACCGGAUAAUGUCUUCGGACCAAAGAUUUAUCGCCUUUGGAUGGGCCCGCGUUGGAUUAGCUAGUUGGUAGGGUAAAAGCGUACCAAGGCGACGAUCCAUAGCUGGUCUGAGAGGAUGAUCAGCCACACUGAGACUGAGACACGGCCCGGACUCCUACGGGAGGCAGCAGUGGGGAAUAGUGGACAGUGGGCGAAAGCCUGAACCAGCAAUGCCGGGUGAGUGAUGAAGGCAUUAAGGUUGUAAAGCGCUUUUACCCGGGAUGAUAAUGACAGUACCGGGAGAAUAAGCACCGGCUAACUCCGUG